rnacentral:rRNA from 1 species
UGGGGAAUUUUGGACAAUGGGCGCAAGCCUGAUCCAGCCAUGCCGCGUGUCUGAAGAAGGCCCUCGGGUUGUAAAGGACUUUUGUCAGGGAAGAAAAGGCUGUCGCUAAUACCGACAGUUGAUGACGGUACCUGAAGAAUAAGCACCGGCUAACUACGUGCCAGCAGCCGCGGUAAUACGUAGGGUGCGAGCGUUAAUCGGAAUUACUGGGCGUAAAGCGAGCGCAGACGGUUACUUAAGCAGGAUGUGAAAUCCCCGGGCUCAACCUGGGAACUGCGUUCUGAACUGGGUGACUAGAGUGUGUCAGAGGGAGGUAGAAUUCCACGUGUAGCAGUGAAAUGCGUAGAGAUGUGGAGGAAUACCGAUGGCGAAGGCAGCCUCCUGGGAUAACACUGACGUUCAUGCUCGAAAGCGUGGGUAGCAAACAGGAUUAGAUACCCUGGUAGUCCACGCCCUAAACGAUGUCAAUUAGCUGUUGGGCAACUUGAUUGCUUAGUAGCGUAGCUAACGCGUGAAAUUGACCGCCUGGGGAGUACGGUCGCAAGAUUA